CCUUGUGACUUUAACCGACAAAGAACCACUAAACCAGCCUAGUUUGCCGGGACUCAAACCAAGAAGCAUAACAAUAGUAAAGAGAUUAAAUGACAAUAAUAUUCAUAGUUGUUACAUUCUUUUCAUCAAUACAUAAAGAAGACAACAAUUUCCAAUAUCCAGUAGCUACCUGUUAGUUGUGAUUGGUAGUAGAAACCUAUUAUUCAUGGCUGGAAGUUGCAACCAGCAAGUCCAUUGUCACUUUCUUGAU